UACGGAGGGUGCAAGCGUUAUCCGGAUUCACUGGGUUUAAAGGGUGCGUAGGUGGGUUGGUAAGUCAGUGGUGAAAUCCCCGAGCUUAACUUGGGAACUGCCAUUGAUACUAUCAGUCUUGAAUACUGUGGAGUCAGCAGAAUAUGUCAUGUAGCGGUGAAAUGCUUAGAUAUGACAUAGAAUACCAAUUGCGAAAGGCAGCUG
rnacentral:rRNA from 1 species